GACGAACGCUGGCGGCGUGCCUAAUACAUGCAAGUAGAACGCAGUUGCGAACGGGUGAGUAACGCGUAGGUAACUGCCUCAUAGCGGGGGAUAACUAUUGGAAAAGAAAGCUAAUACCGCAUACUGUGAGAUGGACCUGAGUUGUAUUAGAUAGUUGGGGAGGGAAAGGCUCACCAAGGCGACGAUCCCUAGCUGGUCUGAGAGGGUGUUCGUCCACACUGGGACUUAGACACGGCCCAGACUCCUACGGUAGGCAGCAGUAGGGAAUCUUCGGCAAUGGACGAAAGUCUGACCGAGCAACGCCGCGUGAGUGAAGAAGGUUUUCGGAUCGUAAAACUCUGUUGUUAGAGAAGCGGUAUCUAACCAGAAAGCCACGGCUAACUACGUGCCAGCAGCCGCGGUAAUAC
rnacentral:rRNA from 1 species